rnacentral:misc_RNA from 1 species
UUAUGGCCUUUUAACGACCCAACAAACGAAGCGCACGUCGCUUCGACCGCGACCCCAGGUCAGGCGGGACUACCCGCUGAGUUUAAGCAUAUAAAUAAGCGGAGGAGAAGAAACUUACAAGGAUUCCCCUAGUAACGGCGAGCGAACCGGGAGCAGCCCAGCUUGAGAAUCGGGUGGCUGUGCCGUUCGAAUUGUAGUAUGGAGAGGCGUCCUCAGCGACGGACCGGGCCCAAGUCCCCUGGAAAGGGGCGCCUGGGAGGGUGAGAGCCCCGUCCGGCCCGGACCCUGUCGCCCCACGAGGCGCCGUCAACGAGUCGGGUUGUUUGGGAAUGCAGCCCAAAUCGGGCGGUAGACUCCGUCCAAGGCUAAAUACAGGCGAGAGACCGAAU